rnacentral:tRNA from 1 species
GGCUUUGUAGCUCACCUGGUAGAGCGCUUGCCGCGCUGAGGCAUGCUGUGUUUGUCGCUGGUUCGAAUCCAGCCGAAGCCC